GACGAACGCUGGCGGUGUGCUUAACACAUGCAAGUGGUACGACAAACCAGAGCUUGCUCUGGGGGCAAGCGGCGAACGGGGGAGUAACACGUGGGUAAACUACCCCGAUGACUGUGACAACCCGUGGAAACUCGGGCGAAUACCGGAGGUGGUACGGAGACAUAAGUGGCUUCACUAGAGGUGGCUUCGGCGUCGGCGUUGGGCGCGGCGCGCGGCGCAUUGGAUUGGUGGUGGGGUCAAGGCCUAGCAAGGCAACGAAGGGUGGCUGGUCUGAGAGGACGGUCAGCCACACUGGGACUGAGACACGGACCAGACUCCUAAGGGAGGCAGCAGUGGCGAAUGGUGGGCAAUGCGCGAGAGCGUGACGCAGUAACACCGAGCGUGGGACGAAGGCCUCAGGGGUGGAAACCCCGUUCUGAGGGGAUGAAGGUCCUCCGGUGGAUAGCCGGCGGGAUUGACGGUACCGGGAGAAGAAGCACCGGCUAACUACGUG
rnacentral:rRNA from 1 species